GUGAAGCAAAAUAUUUUUAGCUGUUUAGACACUUCACAAUGUCUUUGUCUGUGAAAUUGGUUCUGCUACUCUGCAUUCAGACCCCAGUGUCCUGUGCUGUGACUCCUGUGUUUGUGAAGAAGGGAGAUGAUGUUCUUCUGAAUGUCACAGAAACUGAUGUUCCUGAGAAAUUUACAGUCCUCAUUUGGAAAUUCAGUACAAAUGAUGUCUUAGUGUCAUUUCUUCCUG